UAUACGCUGAAAGCGUAUAAUUUUAAAAGUUUGUCAUAUACUCGUUAUUUGAGUUAGAUAUCGUUAUUUGUUAUGUUGUAAAACAUUUGGCUUACGAUAUUAAGAAAAAAAGAUAAUUGUGAAACUUUCAAGCCAAGAUGUGUUGUUAGUAAUAAUUUUAUUGUUACUACAUCGUGUAAACAAAUGGGUUUCCUUUUAUCGUAAAAUUUAACAAUUGCAUCCAGUGGAAAUUCGAUUCAUACAGAUGUAUGGACGAUUAGUACGCUGGAAAAAAAGUUUCUAAAUUUUUGUAAUUAUUUUAAAUAUUUGUCAUAAAUGAAACUUUAACAUUUUACAUACUAUUUAAUAUAGUAUGUGACUUGUUUUACUUAAUAUAUUUUUAUCGCAUAAUUAUGUUUGCAAGUUAUGCAUGCAUAAUUUAUACAUAUAAAUAAAUUAUCAAGUUUGUCAUCAAAAUUAAAGUGUUUAUUCCAUUAUGGUAUUAAGCAAUGUGUGAUAAAAUAUAUAUUAAGUAAGUGUACAUAUAAAGAUAUUUUUGAACGAAUUGUAUAUAUUUUCAUAUAGAUAUAAUAUGUGGUGAAUCUUAAAAAAUGUGAAACGUAAAUUAACGAACAUGAAAUGCUAUGUAACAAUGGCCAUAUUCGUUUAUAUUUAACAUUAAUAUCUAUAGUAUAUUUUUUAUUCAAAAAUAUAUUAAGUUGUAAUGUAAAUACAUUUUGUAAAUAUGUAUGUUAUUUUGUACAUACAAAUUAUAAAAACAUUAUUCUGGUUGAUCCUGCCAGUAGUUAUAUGCUUGUCUCAAAGAUUAAGCCAUGCAUGUCUAAGUACACACGAAUUAACAGUGAAACCGCAAAAGGCUCAUUAUAUCAGUUAUGGUUCCUUAGAUCGUUAACAGUUACU
rnacentral:misc_RNA from 1 species